rnacentral:rRNA from 1 species
GUGUGACUGCGUACCUUUUGUAUAAUGGGUCAGCGACUUAUAUUCUGUAGCAAGGUUAACCGAAUAGGGGAGCCGGAGGGAAACCGAGUCUUAACCGGGCGUUAAGUUGCAGGGUAUAGACCCGAAACCCGGUGAUCUAGCCAUGGGCAGGUUGAAGGUUGGGUAACACUAACUGGAGGACCGAACCGACUAAUGUUGAAAAAUUAGCGGAUGACCUGUGGCUGGGGGUGAAAGGCCAAUCAAACCGGGAGAUAGCUGGUUCUCCCCGAAAGCUAUUUAGGUAGCGCCUCGUGAAUUCAUCUCCGGGGGUAGAGCACUGUUUCGGCUAGGGGGCCAUCCCGGCUUACCAACCCGAUGCAAACUGCGAAUACCGGAGAAUGUUAUCACGGGAGACACACGGCGGGUGCUAACGUCCGUCGUGAAGAGGGAAACAACCCAGACCGCCAGCUAAGGUCCCAAAGUCAUGGUUAAGUGGGAAACGAUGUGGGAAGGCCCAGACAGCCAGGAUGUUGGCUUAGAAGCAGCCAUCAUUUAAAGAAAGCGUAAUAGCUCACUGGUCGAGUCGGCCUGCGCGGAAGAUGUAACGGGGCUAAACCAUGCACCGAAGCUGCGGCAGCGAACGUAUCACUUAAAGCGAUUCAGCGGGUUACGAUUGACGGAGCGAAGCGACGUCAAAGCGUAUACAAAGUCGAGUCGGUUUAAGGAUACGUUCGUUGGGUAGGGGAGCGUUCUGUAAGCCUGUGAAGGUGUGUCGUGAGGCAUGCUGG